rnacentral:rRNA from 4 species
UGUCCGGUGAUCUGAGCGGCUUGGACCCACCUCUUCCCAUUUCGAACAGAGAAGUGAAACGGGCCAGCGUCGAUGAUAGUGAUUGGGCAACUGAUCGUGAAAGUAGAUCAUCGCCGGGCAA